rnacentral:rRNA from 1 species
GAUGAACGCUAGCUACAGGCUUAACACAUGCAAGUCGAGGGGAAACGACAUUGAAGCUUGCUUCGAUGGGCGUCGACCGGCGCACGGGUGAGUAACGCGUAUCCAACCUGCCUCUGACUAAGGGAUAACCCGGCGAAAGUCGGACUAAUACCCUAUGAGGUUUUCCGCAGACAUCUAAUGAAAACGAAAGAUUUAUCGGUCAGUGAUGGGGAUGCGUCUGAUUAGCUUGUUGGCGGGGUAACGGCCCACCAAGGCAACGAUCAGUAGGGGUUCUGAGAGGAAGGUCCCCCACAUUGGAACUGAGACACGGUCCAAACUCCUACGGGAGGCAGCAGUGAGGAAUAUUGGUCAAUGGGCGAGAGCCUGAACCAGCCAAGUAGCGUGCAGGAUGACGGCCCUACUGGGUUGUAAACU